rnacentral:rRNA from 1 species
AACCAGCACCUCAAGUGGUCAGGAUGAUUAUUGGGCCUAAAGCAUCCGUAGCCGGCUCCGUAAGUUUUCGGUUAAAUCUGUACGCUUAACGUACAGGCUGCCGGGAAUACUGCAGAGCUAGGUAGUGGGAGAGGUAGACGGUACUCGGUAGGAAGGGGUAAAAUCCUUUGAUCUAUUGAUGACCACCUGUGGCGAAGGCGGUCUACCAGAACACGUACGACGGUGAGGGAUGAAAGCUGGGGGAGCAAACCGGAUUAGAUACCCGGGUAGUCCCAGCUGUAAACUAUGCAAACUCAGUGAUGCAUUGGCUUGUGGCCAAUGCAGUGCUGCAGGGAAGCCGUUAAGUUUGCCGCCUGGGAAGUACGUACGCAAGUAUGAAACUUAAAGGAAUUGGCGGGGGAGCACCACAAGGGGUGAAGCCUGCGGUUCAAUUGGAGUCAACGCCAGAAAUCUUACCCGGAGAGACAGCAGAAUGAAGGUCAAGCUGAAGACUUUACCAGACAAGCUGAGAGGUGGUGCAUGGCCGUCGCCAGCUCGUGCCGUGAGAUGUCCUGUUAAGUCAGGUAACGAGCGAGAUCCCUGCCUCUAGUUGCCACCAUUACUCUCAGGAGUAGUGGGGCGAAUUAGCGGGACCGCCGCAGUUAAUGCGGAGGAAGGAAGGGGCCACGGCAGGUCAGUAUGCCCCGAAACUCUGGGGCCACACGCGGGCUGCAAUGGUAACGACAAUGGGUUUCGAAUUCGAAAGGAUGAGGUAAUCCUCAAACGUUACCACAGUUAUGACUGAGGGCUGCAACACGCCCUCACGAAUAUGGAAUCCCUAGUAACUGCGUGUCACUAUCGCGCGGUGAAUACGUCCCUGCUCCU